AAACUAUUUUUUACACGUACAGAAUUAUUAAAAGCAAGACGUCAAAUAAUUAAAUAUCGUUUUUAAUUCUAGCAUUAUUUCAGUGUUAGUGUAUGAAUUGAUAAAUAAAUAAAAAAAGAAUAAGAAUGAGAAUGGAAUAGAGGCUUUGAAAAAGCGGGAGAGAAAGUAUGAGAGAGAGGGGAAAAGAAGAGAAAGCAGUGUUCUAGCUGUCAGCUUAUUACUGCAAUCACCUCACGCAAUCGCCCGUAUCAAACGGUGAGUUGCGCCGGCCCUCCUUCACUGCUAUACGCGCCCGGUUAUUGGAUAACUAUUUCUUUUUAUUAUUUAAAAACUACGCUUCGGACAAAUUUUUGCCAAAGAAAAAGUUGUUUCAGAAUAACCUCAGAAAUAUGCCUCUUCAAGGACAUAAGAUUAUUCUGAAUCAGCCUGUAUAUUAAUGCAAUAUUUCUAUAACACAAAAAUCAAAUACUUUUAUCAAUAAAAAGUUAAAAGCUAGAAAUAUUGUGCAAAUAUAUUAAUAAAAUGCAAUAUUAUAAAAAAAUAAAAAAUUAUUUACUUCCAAUUUUAGCACCUUCACCAGCCAAGCUGGGCUCAGUUGUACAUUGUGAAUUUUUCACACCGACAUAACUAUUGAAAUAAAAAGCGCUAUUGUGGCGCCAUAUUUCUCUACCAAAAAAGUUUUUGAGGCGGGAUAUAGGCACAUGUACCAUGUACUGUACCGGCGUACGCAAUGCGAGAAAUUUUGCUCGAGUGACCUUACAUUGGCUAGUAGGGGGUUUUCUGCUCGGGAUCAACUUUGACCAUUUUCAUAUAUCCUCCUUUGUGCUAUUUUAGAAUCAAUCUAAUUCUUAUUAUAAAGAAUCUGACUACCUAACAAAAUUAGCGAUAUAGUAGAUCGGUUUUUAAAAUCGUGUUUAAAAAAAUGCAAUUUUUUCGACUUUUAAUGUUAAAGAAUUAAUUUGUAGUUUUAUCGCCUAUUAAAGUGUUAAAAUUAAGAGUUAUAAAACGCAUUAUUAGUUUUAUACUGUUACGUUCUUCGACCUUCGCAUCCUACUAGUCAGCUAAAGUUAAUCGAUAUUGCGUCCAGCUGUGGAUGAUCGAUAUGGAACGGUCGGCAGAAAAGAAGAUAGUUUCUCUGACGGCGUUAAUCUACAAGACAUCGUAUUUGGAUCAAGCUUUGAAACUGAACGGAUAUUUCACGAGCAGUUCUAAUUUACAAAUUUACAUUUUGUGUAUCAAGUGUUACUUUGUUAAGUUACGAAUUAAAUAUCUUCUUUCAUAAAA